CCUUCCGCGCCGCCUGCCAACCGCCUUCUGUUGGGCCCUAGGAAUGUACAGCCCGUUUGGGAGAGAGACGACCAACCGCCCAAAAAGACUCAGAGUCCAGAGGCUUGAUGCAAAAGGGCAGGAGGUUUUAUUUCCAGCGCAGCCCAGGGGCGGACAACAUCACCGAGCUAGGGGAGCUGCCGCGCCACUUUCAAGCUUGGGGGGUUUUUUAUAAGCUAAAACCGCAGCCGGUGGUUAGGGAGUUUAGGGUGGGGAAAUUCCACUGGUUUUGUCUUGUAUAACUGGUUGCACUUAGUUCCUGGAACUUGUAACAGCUAUAACAGCUAUUUCCUGGAAGGGCGGAAGGGGUGUGGGGUCUUGGUUUUCUAAAAGCAAGCGUGGUUACAGAAGCAGAGAGCUGGUUAGGCUAGUUUGGGGUCUUACACCCUCACUUUGAGAGAGAACAGUUUGUCACUCCUUGGUUGCAUCCCGACAAAAUCUCAGCUUCAGCUUAGGUUUAGACUAAGAUCAUCUGUACAACCCCUCAUUUUGCUGAUAUUUUUAAAGCAGAAAAAAGUUAUUAUUACAUCCAACUAUUGGCCAAGAGUGAGAAUGGGUUUUAAUAUUCAUUUUUUCUUAGUCUAAGUAACCUGUGCUCAAGGUCAUUCUUAACCAAUGAUUAUCUCAUACCAGAUUAAUCCAUCCAUCCCCCAUCCAUUCACCCAUUUCAGUUAGUCAACAUUUUGUUGAGUAACUACUAUGUGCCACUCACAAACCGAUUUCUUGCUUUUCCCAGCCACAAUAGUUAUUUAGGUAAAAACAUCUGAUCAAGAAAACACAUCUUUUUGACAUUUUCAUUCAUCCCAGUGACAUAUGGAAUCAGCUGCAUCACAAAACACAGCUACUCCGCAAAAAUCAGUUUUUAAAACAACCAAAGAAGCAACUCCACUCUGCAGUCAGUAAGUGUAUCCCUGGGCUCAGUCAGAGUUUUCUGAAGAAUAUGAUUUCCAAAUCUUUCAAAGCAAUUUUUAGUUGUGGAGUACAAAGUAUAACUAUAUUUCUUAAAAACACACAAAAGAAAGAAAAGAAGGGAUAGAGAAAGAGGCGAGGGCAUUAUAGAUGUCCCUUUGCUAAGGCCCCUUUGCUCCCUGUGCCUGUCGGUGCCCUCCCUUCUCCCUAAGGCUACCAUCGUUGUGAGGGCCCUGAUUUGCUUUUCCGGAGAUCGUGCCUUUCGAGUGUCUGUUACUGUCACAUCUGAGUGACAGCUUGCUGCAGCAUGACAGAUUAGGAGUUGCGCACAGCCCUGAGAGCUGAGGACAGAGGAGCUGGCAGCAUCUCACUCAGCCUGUGGGGUUCCGGGGGUCCAAAGGCAGCCACACUCAGGAGAGCGGGGGCAGCAGGAGGGGAAGGGGAGGCAGGAAAUGUGUGAGGGUGGGGUGACGCUGCAGGAGGAGGAGGUCCCCUUUGUGGGUGCGGAGGAAAGGCUGCCCAUCAGAGGACCGCCCCACGCUGUCCCUCUUUGAUCAGCUGCACAUGGAAUCUGAAGGAGGGGGACAGAAGCCCCCACAAAAUCACAGAGGCCAGGACGUGAGCAAAGCCACCCUGCCAGGGGACUGAGGAGGAAGUUCUCCCACCUGAAAGCCAACCCCCCAGAGGAAUAAAGCGGGGUACCACUAACUAAAUAAAUCAGAACAGAAGCAUGUGAAAAGGGGCAGCGAGCAGGGCGGAACGAGAAGCCGACAGGCGCAGCUGUCCGUGCAGAACACGCUCACCGCCUCAGGUGCAGGAUGUGCUCUGCUCUUCAAGAACGUCCACCUGUUUCCUCAUUCGGUCCUCACAGCAACCCUGCAAGGUCAACAGGACAAGCCCCAUUUCCCAGAAGAGGGCACUGAGCUGGGACAUGGCAAGGCUGCUGGUACCUGCUAAUCCAGGGAGAUUGUUCUAUGUGAUGAUAUGCAAAAGACAGUAUGAAAAGACAACAAGGAUAAAGCUAAGAGGGUUGAGAUGCCUUCCACUGUGUGUUUCUGUUGGAGGCUUGUUGCAAGUAGAGGCUGGGGCCAGUUGUAUAGAUGAUGACACCCAUCAUCUCUGGCCGCCUGGCAUCCAUCCCUUGCCCGGUAUCCUGCCCCUUUCCCUUGGGAAUUGCCUCCGGCCCCUCCUCACUGAGGGCAGUCUUGGUGCAAAGUAAUCUCAGAUGAUUGCCUUUCACUGCAGAGAUUAAGGGAGCCAAACUCAUCCCAGGACAGCUAGAGUGGUGUUCUCUCCCCAAACUUUGAAUCUUGAGAAAGUGCUCAAACCAAAAGCACAGAUGGCUAGAGGCCAUUCAUCAUGGCAGUGGGGGAGGUGGUCAUGGCCAUGACAUUCACACUUGAGAUAGAACAUCUAUUAUAUCUUUCCCAUAAAUCUCUAUUUGUAUAAAGAGGCCAAAGUUGCUUUCUGUUGCAUGCAGCCCAGCACCCUAACUGAUGCAAAGGAUUAACAGACUUAAACCUUUCAAAGCUCCAGCCCCAUACUUAGUCACCGAGCCCCUAAGUACACAUCCAAGGAAUUGGAAAGGGAGCAGAGAGGGAUGAGUCUUCCUCGCAGACACAAGCGAGCAGAUCCUGAACAUGGCAGACGUUCAGUAGUCAUCGAAUCAUAACGAGAGUUCUUAGAGCCUCCAGAAUGGUGGACUGCUGGCUGCUAUAAUUUUUCCCUCCAGCGCUGUCAGCUCCCAGAGGAGGCUGCAGACAGCAAAUGUGGAAGUCUUUCCUGGAUCCCACCCCUGAAAGUAUAGAUCCUCUCCUGGAACCUGAAGGCCAGGCCAUAAGCAUGCCGGAGUCCACACCGAAAUGCUGCAGCCUGAGACCCCAUUAUUAAUGCUGCUGAUUUCAGGUCCAUUUCCUAUCUGCAAGGAACAUUUUUUUGUUUGCCUUCUUUUCAGAUUGAAAAGGUCUAAAUUGAUAAGCAAUGAUGCAUGUCGUUUUUGGCCAAUUGCUCACACCAGCAAAAAAUGUCUAAGAUAAGAAUGACAAAAAUAGUAACAAUGCCACUGUGACCUUUUAGCAACAUGAAGGAAAUCACUCUUCAGCAGGGAUUUAUUUUCCAGCUUUUAUGUUUUUUGACCACAGAAAAUAAAGAAAGCAUUCCACCCUACCCUUUAAUUCAUGUUUGCCCCAUUCAGUUUCUAUUUCCUGGUAAAUUAAAUAGAUGCAAUUUACAGGCUUUUUUUCCUUUCCCAGCUCCUGUGAGCUCUGUUUUAAAAAGCCUCUCAACUCAUACUCUACUCCUUCCUCCAAAUCUCUAACCUUGCUUUUCAAAAGAGACCUUAAAUAGAGACUGUUGACCUAGAGUAAGGUAUCUUGCACACAGUAGGUGCUCAAAAAAGGCCGAGUUGGAUUAAAUUGAAGCACUGCCAGAUCCUUGUCUUGGUCUUAGCCUGGUGAAGAAUUACAGAAUAGGGGAAAUGUGCUGAUCACAACUUGCCUCCCCAGUCUAGUUUCUUCUCCACGUUUGCUACCCGAGGCUUGAAACUGAGAACCCGGCUUCGGUCAGCAUCCUCGGAAGGGCUCUCGAGAGGGACGGGCUCCUUCUCCCUAAGUGCUGCACUGGGAGUGAAGCACAAAGCCCAAUCUGCACCUGCCGACACCGAGCCUGUGAGUGACAGAGGGGACCUUCUGAUGGGGCCAUCCUGGCGGGGCCUAGAGGUAAGAAGGGAGUCGCAUACUUGCAAAAUGAGAGCAGGGACCAAGCAGGCUACCCAAAGCCUUUGAAGUCACAAAAUUGGUCAUGAACCGAAUAGCCGUUGCUUUGUGCCCCUCCCCAUGAGCAGCGCUGCUCGGUGCGGUCCAGCCACCGCGGGCGGCCUACGGCCCCAGGCCUCAGCGGGAGCCUCCACGCUGCCCGCUGGCCUUCUUGGACCUCAUUUUUAUCUCUUAGCGGCUGAGGUUCAACACACACGUGUGUGCUCACACUGACGCCACGUGGGGUGAGUGAGACACGACACCGCGGCCAGCUCCGCCUCGACUCCGCUCCGGAAGCGACAGCUGUCAGCUAGCGAGAGGGGCUGCCUCAGCCGAGGGCCACGUCUCUGCUUCUGUUCCACACCCCAAGGAGCUGCCACCAGCCACGGCGAGAAAGAAGUGUGACACGCGAUGGCGCCCGGCGAGACAGCCCUUCAUUAAGCAGCAGAGUGUCUUCCCUCUCUGUGGGGAACGCCUUAGCAAACGUCAGACUCUGCGUUUGGGUAACAGCUGAAACACCUUUCCUUAAAGAAAACCUAAAUGCAAAAGCUUAUUCGAAACAACACCCUAAGGGAGUCCUUGGCUACCUACGCCCAGGCCGUGGGUUUGCGCCAGCCCUGCCUCCCCUCAAAGGGAGGCCGCGGUCAGGCCCGUCCACAGCUCCCCUUCCCGGAGUCAAAGGCCAGGGAGCAGCAGUCUCCGCGCAGACCGGUCUCGGAAGGCCUGGGAGCGAGGGCCAGCCGACUCGCCAAGGCCUCUGCGCGCCGAGGCUCUCCUGGGCUCCCAUGGGACACCUGUGAGUGGAGCUGCAGCUCUUGGUCCUGCCCUGAGUCGAUUCUGCAAAUGUUUUAAUUGAUUCAAAGACAACUGAAACUGAGUUGGGUGAUUUUGACAUCAAUGAAUAUACUCCGAUAAAGUUAGCAGAAAGGGAUUUUGAGUUAAGCGCAAGGGCAAAAAAGAGCUCAGCCGUUACACUUUCUGCUUUAAAUUAUGAUAGAGCCUGCAGGCCAAUGCCCCAGGGCUUAUUACAGCUACUCAGAAGAUGUUAAACCCACUGGGAAAAGCCUCUGGCUCUUGGGGAGAAAUGUGAGUUAGUUGAUGAGAGACGUGGAUCCCCUAGCCAGGGGUCACUGGACUUCCCGUGGCGUGCCUCUCCGCCACGUGGAGGACGGCUGUCGGCGGCGCACCCAACCGGCUAACUUCCAAGCCAAGACCCCACGGAGCCCAGGCACCUGAGAGCGGAGGCUCCUCCAGCCUCGGCCCGCCCUCGCGCUUCCCGAAAGCCUGACUGAGAGAAGACUGCCCUCUCUGAGCGGGCCUUCCGUGGCUGAGCUCGCUGGCUGGCUCCGCCCGCGCCCUGCAGCAGGCUGCAUCCACCGGAAGGGCUUCUGGAAGCUCGCCAGUGUCUCCAACAUCAGAUGUGCACGGGCCUCUUCUCGGGCCGCUGCCGUGGGUCUGCUGCCGUGGGUCUGCCUCUCGGAGCCACUGUCCCCUUGAGCUCCUGAGACACGGCUCCCUCUCAGGUCUCCUUUCCUCUGUUCUGCCUCAAGUCCCUCAGGCCAACGCCCUUUAGGUUUUGAGGCCCUUUGCGGUUCAGCGCGAGACAUCUGGUCUGUAUGUCUGACCGGCGUGCUCUCCCCUUCACCUGCUCACCGCACACGCUCACCGCGCCUGCCCUCUCUCCCAGGCGCCCUCCAGUGCGGGGCGCAACAGUGAACGCAACAGACCAAAGUCCUGCUCCCGUGGACUUGGAUUCCAGUGCCAGGGCUGGCAGAUUUCUGUGAAGGACCAGAUAGUAAAUAUUUUAGGCUUUGCAGGCCAUAUGGUCUCUAUAGAAACUACAGGUCUGUGGCUAUAGCCCAAAAGCAUCCACAGACAGUACAAAAACAGAUGGGCAUGGCUGUGUCCCACUAAAACUUCAGUUAUAAAACACAGGUUGCAGGAAGGAGGGCUUAGGCCUGUUGGGAAAGACAUGCCCUCUUUCUGCUGGAAUGUUUGAGCUGAUGGAAUGAAGCUUGGGGGAUCUUUGUCACAGCACAGGGAGAACAUGCCUGAGGAUGAAGCCGUCCCAGGGGAAGGCAGAGUGGAGAGUCCUCCUGGUUCUCAUCACACGUUUGCAGCACCUGGAUUCAGCCAGGUAGCCACGUAGGAAACCGCGUGCACCUCCUCUCCUGUGCCUUUGGUUAUUUUGAGUCAGUAAACAUUCCUUCCUCCUCCA